rnacentral:rRNA from 1 species
UACAGAGGUCUCAAGCGUUGUUCGGAUUCAUUGGGCGUAAAGGGUGCGUAGGUGGCGAGGUAAGUCAGGUGUGAAAUCUCGGAGCUCAACUCCGAAACUGCACUUGAUACUGCCCUGCUGGAGUACUGGAGAGGAGAUUGGAAUUUACGGUGUAGCAGUGAAAUGCGUAGAUAUCGUAAGGAAGACCAGUGGCGAAGGCGGCUCACUGGCCCGGUACUGACGCUCAUGUGCGAAAGCGUGGGGAGCAAACAGG